ensembl:lncRNA
CUCUUUUCCGCCAGCCGCCGCCGCCGUUUUCCCCGGUAUGGACGAACAGCGGGCGAGGUCUUUUAUGCCUUUCGCGGGAAGGUCAACAAACGGUGAGAAGCUAUCGAAAACGACCUGUUUUACCACAUUUCCAGGCCACUUGACCCACGGGGACCUGACUUUGCAACAUUCGUCGGGGGCGCUGCAAAAAGCUUAGCUUCUCGGAAACUCAGGCCUGCCUGUGUCUCUCAAGGAUGGACAGAGGUGGUUGUGGACUUAAAGACCCUUUGAUGUAAGGGAUAGAGAGAAGCUAAGUGAGCGCACCCAUCUCUGAGCAUUUCAACCGCGAGGGAAUCCGAGCAAAGUAACAAUAAGAUACAACUAAUAUCCUAGGAAUGCUGCUGGUUUCACGGAGCCAAAGCUGGAGAGGAGUUUGCCUGAGGAUGAAUUGUGCCGCAGCUCUUACCCAUAUCUGACUCGGAUGACAAUCUUGAGGCUGUUGGGAUGGAAUGUGUGCAUUUUGCAUGCAAGAAGGAUGUGAAUCGGGAGGAUGGAGCCAGUGGUGGAUUAUCAUGGACCGAUUAUUAUUAUCACCUCCGAGUCACAUGUUGAAGCCCUAGAACCCAGUGUGGCUCUAUUUAGAGAUAGGGGCUCCUAAGUUGGUUUACAGUGUUCUGUCAAUUUUCUCCUGUACUGUCGGGAGCCAUAAGGCUGCUCCAGUAAAGAAAGCAAAGCCACAGUCGGCACCUGCAUGAGGCUUGUCUGGUUAGCAGAGCUACAGACAAGCUGAAGAAGGAAGAAGGAUUGCAGAGCAAUCCCUUGAAAGACAUCGGCUCCAGGAAAAUAAAAAUGAUAUCCCCUAAAAAAUAUGUUAAUCUAUUUUUCUGUGUUUAUCCUUCCUUUUCUAUCUCUAUUCACAGCUUUCUUACUGCUAAAGAUUUGCCCUGGGUACGUAAAACACUUGAACCAAAACAGAAUGAAGUUAUUUAAACAAUGUAAUGGAAAAAGCCUUUGUUUUGGAGUAACAAUUUAUGGCACCUAUUUUGUGAGAGUAUACAGGGGAAACUUAUGAUUUCAGUCCCUUUACUUAAAAAGAAGUUUGGGGCUGGGAAAAAUGUUGUUUGGCCUAUAAAUUGCUAUAAUAGAUAUAUUUUUUAUCAAAUAACAGUGUCACCUGUAACUUUCAUCCCUUGUGGGGGCAUUUGUUAAUUUUUGGGUAUAAUACUCCUUUCUAUUGAAAUUGGUGGUUUGGAACUUACGUAAAUCAGCACAAUAGGUUAAAUGCUUAGCUUGCUGACGCCAAAUAAAUCGUGGUUUUAAGAAUGCCAUGAGCCCAAAGCUUUCAUGCGUUUUGUUAACCACAUACACCUUUAGUUAAAGAAUGUUAGGUAUCAUAGUUGAUUACUUAUUAAAGCUUUGUUCUUAAUAAAGAAUAGCUACUGUUGUUGACCUUUUAAGAAAAAUACAGUGUGAAACUUUAAGUUUGUAAUCUUGAAGGAAAAUCUGAAGUUGAAAGGAACAUGUUUUAACUAACCUUUUCUUUUUUUUUUGUAUCUCAGGUGGAGGGAACAAAAGGGCUUUAAAUCAAAUGUUAAUGUCAAAUCUUACACGAAACCUGAUUGUGAUAGGGUAUAAAAACUGAUGCUUUUCAUUUAAUAAAUUGGGUCAUCAGCAGCAUGC